GAUGAAGAACGUAGCGAAAUGCGAUAAGUAAUGUGAAUUGCAGAAUUCAGUGAAUCAUCGAAUCUUUGAACGCACAUUGCGCCCCUUGGUAUUCCGAGGGGCAUGCCUGUUCGAGCGUCAUUUUGACCACUCCCGCCUGCGGGGUCUUGGGCCUUCGCCUCUGGGCGGGCCUUAAAAUCAGUGGCGGUGCCGUCCGGCUCUAAGCGUAGUAAAUCUCCUCGCUAUAGGGUUCCGGAGGGAUGCUGGCCAACAACCCCCAACUUUUAAGGUUGACCUCGGAUCAGGUAGGGAUACCCGCUGAACUUAAGCAUAUCAAUAAGCGGAGGA
rnacentral:misc_RNA from 1 species